rnacentral:lncRNA from 1 species
UUGCAAGUAUCCACUCACUACUCUAGUAAGUAUACCAUAUCUGGUCUCAUACAUGGUGUACAUGAUAGAACAAAUUCUACUCAUAAACACUCUAUGUAUAUUGGACUGAAAAAACUUAAGUAGCCUCUUAGAUCUAUCUCUAUAGAUCUUCAUCACUAGGAUGAGAGAUGCUAUUCUCAAAGUUCUUUAUGGAGAACAGUAAUAACAGUGAAAUC